rnacentral:rRNA from 1 species
UACGGGGGGGGGCAAGCGUUGUUCGGAAUUACUGGGCGUAAAGGGCUCGUAGGCGGCCAACUAAGUCGGACGUGAAAUCCCCAGGCUCAACCUGGGAACUGCGUCCGAUACUGGAUGGCUUGAAUUCGGGAGAGGGAUGCAGAAUUCCAGGUGUAGCGGUGAAAUGCGUAGAUAUCUGGAGGAAUACCGGUGGCGAAGGCGGCAUCCUGGACCGACAUUGACGCUGAGGAGCGAAAGCGUGGGGGAGCGAACAGG